rnacentral:rRNA from 1 species
ACGCUGGCGGCAGGCCUAACACAUGCAAGUCGAGCGGUAGAGAGAAGCUUGCUUCUCUUGAGAGCGGCGGACGGGUGAGUAAUGCCUAGGAAUCUGCCUGGUAGUGGGGGAUAACGUUCGGAAACGGACGCUAAUACCGCAUACGUCCUACGGGAGAAAGCAGGGGACCUUCGGGCCUUGCGCUAUCAGAUGAGCCUAGGUCGGAUUAGCUAGUUGGUGAGGUAAUGGCUCACCAAGGCGACGAUCCGUAACUGGUCUGAGAGGAUGAUCAGUCACACUGGAACUGAGACACGGUCCAGACUCCUACGGGAGGCAGCAGUGGGGAAUAUUGGACAAUGGGCGAAAGCCUGAUCCAGCCAUGCCGCGUGUGUGAAGAAGGUCUUCGGAUUGUAAAGCACUUUAAGUUGGGAGGAAGGGUUGUAGAUUAAUACUCUGCAAUUUUGACGUUACCGACAGAAUAAGCACCGGCUAACUCUGUGCCAGCAGCCGCGGUAAUACAGAGGGUGCAAGCGUUAAUCGGAAUUACUGGGCGUAAAGCGCGCGUAGGUGGUUUGUUAAGUUGGAUGUGAAAUCCCCGGGCUCAACCUGGGAACUGCAUUCAAAACUGACUGACUAGAGUAUGGUAGAGGGUGGUGGAAUUUCCUGUGUAGCGGUGAAAUGCGUAGAUAUAGGAAGGAACACCAGUGGCGAAGGCGACCACCUGGACUAAUACUGACACUGAGGUGCGAAAGCGUGGGGAGCAAAC